rnacentral:rRNA from 1 species
AUUGAACGCUGGCGGCAUGCCUUACACAUGCAAGUCGAACGGCAGCGCGGGAGCAAUCCUGGCGGCGAGUGGCGAACGGGUGAGCAAUAUAUCGGAACGUGCCAGUAGCGGGGGAUAACGCAGCGAAAGCUGUGCUAAUACCGCAUACGCACUACGGUGGAAAGAGGGGGAUCGCAAGACCUCUCACUAUUGGAGCGGCCGAUAUCAGAUUAGCUUGUUGGCGGGGUAAAAGCCCACCAAGGCGACGAUCUGUAGCUGGUUUGAGAGAACGACCAGCCACACUGGGACUGAGACACGGCCCAGACUCCUACGGGAGGCAGCAGUGGGGAAUUUUGGACAAUGGGCGCAAGCCUGAUCCAGCCAUGCCGCGUGCGGGAAGAAGGCCUUCGGGUUGUAAACCGCUUUUGUUCGGGAAGAAAUUGACUGGGCUAAUACCUCGGUCGGAUGACGGUACCGGAAGAAUAAGCACCGGCUAACUACGUGCCAGCAGCCGCAGUAA